rnacentral:rRNA from 1 species
ACGCACGCUGGCGGCGUGCUUAACACCUGCCAGUCGAACGAUGAAGAAAAGAAUUGAAGCUUCGGCAGAAAUUCAUUUCGGAUUAGUGGCAGACGGGUGAGUAACGCGUGAGCAACCUACCUCUUACAAAGGGAUAGCCUCGGGAAACCGGGAUUAAUACCAUAUAACAUUGCGACGAAGCAUUUCGAUGCAAUCAAAGCUACGGCGGUAAGAGAUGGGCUCGCGUCCCAUUAACCAGAUGGUGAGGUAACGGCUCACCAUAGUAACGAUGGGUAACCGGCCUGAGAGGGUGAACGGUCACACUGGAACUGAGACACGGUCCAGACUCCUACGGGAGGCAGCAGUGGGGAAUAUUGCACAAUGGAGGGAACUCUGAUGCAGCGACGCCGCGUGAGUGAUGAAGGAAUUCGUUUCGUAAAACUCUGUUCUAUGGGAAGAAAAGGACUGUACCAUAGGAGAAAGCUCCGGCUAAAUACGUG